GCCAGUGUGGCAUAGUGGCUUGUGUGUUGGACUAUGACUCUGGAGACCAGGGUUCGAUUCCCAGCUCAGCCA
rnacentral:tRNA from 1 species